CUCCUGUGAUGAUUUACAGUGCUAAUAUUGAGACACCAGGUAGGGGAUGUUGAGAUAAAUUCUUCUCUUACAACUACCUAAGAGGC
ensembl:snoRNA small nucleolar RNA, C/D box 9